CACACCGCCCGUCACACCAUGGGAGUUGGCUGCACCUAGAAGUAAGUAGUCUAACCGCAAGGAGGGCGCUUACCACGGUGUGGUCAAUGACUGGGGUG
rnacentral:rRNA from 1 species